rnacentral:SRP_RNA from 1 species
GCCAGAUGUGGUGGCGCGCACCUGUAGUCCCAGCUACUUGGAUGGCUGAGGCAGGAGGAUCACUUGAACCCAGGAGGUUGAGGCUGCAGUGAGCAGAGGUGGUUCCACUGCACUCCAGCCUGGGUGACAAAGUGAGACCCUGUCUCAA